GUUAAGGCCCGUCUCAGACUCGGAUUGUGGCUCAGACUUAGACUCCUCCUAAGCUUGUUAGACCUCGAGACCGUCAUCACCCCGGUGACUGUUCCCAUCAAACAGAGUAAAUUAAAGGAGAACCACCCACCUCCUGUGGGCUCACCCCUGUGAAAUAUUUCUGUGAAAGACACUCUCCAGUGACAUGGUGCCCAAUAAGAGAUGGCAUGUUAUCUCCUUCGGCCCGUUCUUCAAGCUCGUGGCCGAAGGAAGCAAGCUAUUAUGUUGUGAUUAAUGCUGCGGAGAGAACCUCAUGACAGAGGCUUAACGUCUCUGACCAGUAGCCAGCUGGGACCUGCGGCUGGCUGAUUUCCCAACAGGAGUGAGCUCGAGAGUGGAAUGCCCACAGUGGAGCUGUCUCCGCUGCUGACACUGCAGCCUGGUGAGAAGACCCUGUGUCAGAGUUUCCCAGCUAUGCCAUGCCCAGGCUUCUAGCCCAGAGAAAUGGUUUUAAUCCUACAUCCCUGGAGUGUGAUCUCUUUGCAUUUUGCCUCCACCGCUGCCUUCACACACCACCAGCAAUGGGAAGAUAGCCAGGAACCCUGGGUGCAGCAACCAGAGAGUCCCAUUCAGCAAGGAAUGUCCAUCCCUCCUCCAGCAGAGCCUGAGUCUCAGGGGAGCAUGGCAUCAUCACAGUGCCUGGAA